rnacentral:ncRNA from 1 species
UACCGGACCUGCGGGUGCGGCGGCGUGCGGCUGAGAUGAGGCCCAGCCUCAACCGGACGAACGUAUACCGGGUAAUGCCGGCGCACGGAUGUCACUUUCCCGUGC